rnacentral:lncRNA from 1 species
AGGCCUGGCAAACGGGUCGUGUCUGUCGUGUUCGUGUCGUUUUCGUGUAACACCUGUUAUCUUAACGGGUCGUGUCGUGUCACACCUGUUAUCUUAAUGGGUCCUUAACAGGUCGGGUCACUUUACCCAACGGGUAAAGUGACCCGACCCGUUAUGACCCGUUAAGAAAAAUAUUUUUUUUUCUUAAAUUUGCACAUACCACACAUUACCACAUAAAUAUUACUUCAAAACAUUAAAACAUAUUUGUCAGUUAAGUACUACAUCUACACUCGAAAAUAAGAGCCUAAUAAAAAAACAUCCAUACACUAGUCUAUUACAAAAUAUUAAAUGUACAAGGAUAUGCAAAAUGAAAGAGUUUUUGUUUUCAAGGUUGUGAAGCCUUUCUCAAAAGUUUAAACCUUGCCAAUAGAACUCAAAGUUUGAAUGUUAUUUCUUUUACAAAAUCCUCAAUUUUCAUCGAUCAUCAUGGGGAAAUUGUAUUGGAACUUUGGCUUGAUCUAUUGCCUUCAAGAGUUAUGUUGAUGAUGUUUUUGGUAAGGUUUUCCACGUCAGAACUCUCUUCCGCAUAAACUAAGUAUAGAAAAACCAAACAUUAAAAACCAUUCAAAUUAUACAAACAAGAUUGACGGUUGGAUCAUUGAAAUUAGUUUCAUAGAAUUCGUAUCUCAUCCAAACCAUAGAUACUUAGAGUUUAUUUAUACUUUCAUUAAGUAUAACAUAAGAUUUUGUGGUAUCCACUUGUGUAAAUAUUUUAAAUUGACGAUCGAAUUCAUUCAUUGUAUUCGUAUAGGGUCAACAAGUGUAGUUGUAAAAAAUCAUCAAAAUCGGAGUUAAAAUAACCGUUAAAUCGUGAUUUUUUGUUUUAUAACCGUCGAAAAAGCUUUGUCUCAUUACUUGAUCUCUGAAUGUUUGUUUUUUGUGAUUUUUGGCGUAUGCGAUCUCGAAGCAUAUACAAAUAAGUUUGACGGUUGGAUCGUUGAAAUUAGUUUCAUAGAAUUCGUAUCCCAUCAAAACGAUAGAUUCACUAACACUUAGAGUUUAUUUAUACUUACAUCAAGUAUAACAUAAGAUUUUGUGGUAUCCACUUGUGUCAAUAUUUUAAAUUGACGAUCGAAUUCAUUCAUUGUAUUCGUAUAAGGUCAACAAGUGUAGUUGUAAAAAAUCAUCAAAAUCGGAAUUAAAAUAACCGUUAAAUCGUGAUUUUUUGUUUUAUAACCGUCGAAAAGUUUUGUCUCAUUACUUGAUCUUUGAAUGUUUGUUUUUUGUGAUUUUUGGCGUAUGCGAUCUCGAAGCAUAUACAAACAAGUUUGACGGUUGGAUCGUUGAAAUUAGUUUCAUAGAAUUCGUAUCCCAUCAAAACGAUAGAUUCACUAGCACUUAGAGUUUAUUUAUACUUUCAUUAAGUAUAACAUAAGAUUUUGUGGUAUCCACUUGUGUAAAUAUUUUAAAUUGACGAUCGAAUUCAUUCAUUGUAUUCGUAUAGGGUCAAAAAGUGUACUUGUAAAAAAUCAUCAAAAUCGAAGUUAAAAUAACCGUUAAAUCGUGAUUUUUAGUUUUAUAACCGUCGAAAAAUUUUGUCUCAUUACUUGAUCUCUGAAUAUUUGUUUUUUGUGAUUUUUGGCAUAUGCGAUCUCGAAGCAUAUACAAACAAGAUUGAUGGUUGGAUCGUUGAAAUUAGUUUCAUAGAAUUCGUAUCCCAUCAAAACGAUAGAUUCACUAACACUUAGAGUUUAUUUAUACUUUCAUUAAGUAUAACAUAAGAUUUUGUGGUAUCCACUUGUGUAAAUAUUUUAAAUUGACGAUCAAAUUCAUUCAUUGUAUUCGUAUAGGGUCAAAAAGUAUACUUGUAAAAAAUAAUCAAAAUCGAAGUUAAAAUAACCGUUAAAUCGUGAUUUUUUGUUUUAUAACCGUCGAAAAGUUUUGUCUCAUUACUUCAUCUCUGAAUGUUUUUUUUUUGUGAUUUUUGGCGUAUGCGAUCUCGAAGCAUAUACAAACAAGUUUGAUGGUUUGAUCGUUGAAAUUAGUUUCAUAGAAUUUGUAUCCCAUCAAAACGAUAGAUUCACUAACACUUAGAGUUUAUUUAUACUUUUAUUAAGUAUAAAAUAAGAUUUUGUGGUAUCCACUUGUGUAAAUAUUUUAAAUUGACGAUCGAAUUUAUUCAUUGUAUUCGUAUAGGGUCAACAAGUGUAGUUGUACAAAAUUAUCAAAAUCGAAGUUAAAAUAACCGUUAAAUUGUGAUUUUUUGUUUUAUAACCGUCGAAAAGUUUUGUCUCAUUACUUGAUCUCUGAAUGUUUGUUUUUUGUGAUUUUUGGCGUAUGCGAUCUCGAAGCAUAUACAAACAAGAUUGAUGGUUGGAUCGUUGAAAUUAGUUUCAUAGAAUUCGUAUCCCAUCAAAACGAUAGAUUCACUAACACUUAGAGUUUAUUUAUACUUUCAUUAAGUAUAACAUAAGAUUUUGUGGUAUCCACUUGUGUAAAUAUUUUAAAUUGACGAUCGAAUUCAUUCAUUGUAUUCGUAUAGGGUCAACAAGUGUAGUUGUAAAAAAUCAUCAAAAUCGGAGUUAAAAUAACCGUUAAAUCAUGAUUUUUUGUUUUAUAACCGUCGAAAAGUUUUGUCUCAUUACUUGAUCUCUGAAUGUUUGUUUUUAUUUUAUUUUUGGCGUAUGCGAUCUCGAAGCAUAUACAAACAAGUUUGACGGUUGGAUCGUUGAAAUUAGUUUCAUAGAAUUCGUAUCCCAUCAAAACGAUAGAUUCACUAACACUUAGAGUUUAUUUAUACUUUCAUUAAGUAUAACAUAAGAUUUUGUGGUAUCCACUUGUGUAAAUAUUUUAAAUUGACAAUCGAAUUCAUUCAUUGUAUUCGUAUAGGGUCAACAAGUGUACUUGUAAAAAAUAAUCAAAAUCGAAGUUAAAAUAACAGUUAAAUCGUGAUUUUUUGUUUUAUAACCGUCGAAAAGUUUUGUCUCAUUACUUGAUCUCUGAAUGUUUGUUUUUGUGAUUUUUGGCGUAUGCGAUCUCGAAGCAUAUACAAACAAGUUUGACGGUUUGAUCGUUGAAAUUAGUUUCAUAGAAUUUGUAUCCCAUCAAAAUGAUAGAUUCACUAACACUUAGAGUUUAUUUAUACUUUUAUUAAGUAUAAAAUAAGAUUUUGUGGUAUCCACUUGUGUAAAUAUUUUAAAUUGACGAUCGAAUUCAUUCAUUGUAUUCGUAUAGGGUCAACAAGUGUAGUUGUAAAAAAUUAUCAAAAUCGAAGUUAAAAUAACCGUUAAAUCGUGAUUUUUUGUUUUAUAACCGUCGAAAAGUUUUGUCUCAUUACUUGAUCUCUGAAUGUUUGUUUUUUGUGAUUUUUGGCGUAUGCGAUCUCGAAGCAUAUACAAACAAGAUUGAUGGUUGGAUCGUUGAAAUUAGUUUCAUAGAAUUCAUAUCCCAUCAAAACGAUAGAUUCACCAACACUUAGAGUUUAUUUAUACUUUCAUUAAGUAUAACAUAAGAUUUUGUGGUAUCCACUUGUGUAAAUAUUUUAAAUUGACGAUCGAAUUCAUUCAUUGUAUUUAUAUAGGGUCAAAAAGUGUACUUGUAAAAAAUCAUCAAAAUCGAAGUUAAAAUAACCGUUAAAUCGUGAUUUUUUGUUUUAUCACCGUCGAAAAGUUUUGUCUCAUUACUUUAUCUCUGAAUGUUUGUUUUUUGUGAUUUUUGGCAUAUGCGAUCUCGAAGCAUAUACAAACAAGUUUGACGGUUUGAUCGUUGAAUUUAGUUUCGUGUAUCCCAUCAAGUUCAAUGGUGUGUGUAUAUAUAUAUAUAUUUAUUUAUUUAUUAUGUAGAUUUAAAUCUAUUUAUUUUGUACGUAUAAUUAUUAUAGUUUUUUUAGGGGUAUAAAAUUUAAUUUAAAAUUUAAUAUAUAUAUAUAUAAUUAUUAUAGUUAAUAUUUUGGGGUAUAAUUAUUAUAGUAUAUAUAAUUAUUAUAGUUAAUUUAAUAUAUAUAUAUAUAUAUAUAAUUAUAGUUUUAAACUUUUUAGGGGUAUAAAAUUGUUAAAUUAUUAUAUAUAAUUAUUAUAGUAUUUUUUAGGGUUAUAAAAUUAUUAAAUUAAUAUUCUGCUUAUCGUGUAUCGUGUUACCCACGUGUAUACCCGAACCAACCCGUUAUAUUAACAGGUGCUUAUCGGGUUACCCGAUAAUACCCGAUUCGUUAUCGUGUCGACUCAAACACCUGUUAAUUUCGGGUCGUGUCGUGUCGGGUUAUCGGGUCGUGUCAGGAAUUGCCAGGCCUACUGA